rnacentral:rRNA from 1 species
GUAGGGAAUAUUGGGCAAUGGAUGCAAGUCUGACCCAGCCAUCCCGCGUGCCGGAAGAAGGCCCUCAGGGUUGUAAACGGCUUUUGACGGUGAAGAAUCGACAGGAUGCGUCCUGUUUUGACGGUAGCCGUUGAAUAAGCACCGGCUAACUCCGUGCCAGCAGCCGCGGUAAUACGGAGGGUGCGAGCGUUGUCCGGAUUUAUUGGGUUUAAAGGGUGCGUAGGCUGGAAGGUCAGUAAGCGGUGAAAAGCUGUCGCUUAACGAUAGUCUUGCCGCAGAUACUUCCUUUCUUGGAUGAGGAGGAGGCCACUGGAACGGAUGGUGUAGCGGUGAAAUGCAUAGAUAUCAUCCAGAACACCGAUUGCGAAGGCAGGUGGCUGUACCUUAAUCGACGCUGAUGCACGAAAGCAUGGGGAGCAAACAGGAUUAGAUACCCCUGUAGUCC